rnacentral:rRNA from 1 species
GACGAACGCUGGCGGCGUGCUUAACACAUGCAAGUCGAACGGUAAGGCCCUGCUUUUUUGGGGUGCUCGAGUGGCGAACGGGUGUGUAACACGUGAGUACCCUGCCCUUGACUGUGGUAUACCUUCAGGACACUGUGUCUAAUACCGUAUAGGAGCUCCUGCUGCAUUGUGUGUUUUGGAAAUUUUUGGCGGUUGGGUAGGCACUCGCGGCUUCUCGGCUUGUUGGUGGGGUAGUGUCUUACAAAGGCUUUCACGGAUAGCCGGCCUGAGAGGGUGACCGGCAACAUUGGGACUGGGAUAAGGCCCAAACUCCUAGGGGAGGCAGCAGUGGGGAAGAUUGCACAAUGGGCGGAAGCCGGAGGCAGCAACGCGGGGGGGGGGAUGACGGCCUUGGGGUUGUAAACCGCUUUAGCAGGGGACGAAGCGAGAGUGAGGGUAAUGGUAAAGAAGCACCGGCUAACUACGUG